rnacentral:rRNA from 1 species
AGUGAACGCUGGCGGUAGGCCUAACACAUGCAAGUCGAACGGCAGCACAGUAAGAGCUUGCUCUUACGGGUGGCGAGUGGCGGACGGGUGAGGAAUACAUCGGAAUCUACUUUUUCGUGGGGGAUAACGUAGGGAAACUUACGCUAAUACCGCAUACGACCUACGGGUGAAAGCAGGGGAUCUUCGGACCUUGCGCGAUUGAAUGAGCCGAUGUCGGAUUAGCUAGUUGGCGGGGUAAAGGCCCACCAAGGCGACGAUCCGUAGCUGGUCUGAGAGGAUGAUCACCCACCUGGGAAAUGAAACACGCCCCAGACUCCUAGGGGAGGCAGCAGUGGGGAAUAUUGCACAAGGGGCGCAAGCCUGACCCAGCAAUCCCGCGUGGGUGAAGAAGCCCUUCGGUUUGUAAAGCCCUUUUGUUGGGAAAGAAAAGCAGCAGUUUAACCCCCCGCUGUUCUGACGGUACCAAAAAAAAAAGCCCCGGCUAACUUCGUG